CCCAUAAAUGCCAUCUCCAGGAGAGGAGGUCCAACUACGUACAUCCUCACAAAGUUGCACCCGGGUCAGGAAAUGCCUGGCUGCACCGCAGCGAUUGCAGUCUCCGCAGUGACUGACGCCCAGAGUUCGCUCAUGAAGUGCGGGGAGACACGAAGACUCUCCAACAAUGCUAUUUGCCAAAGCCACUGUGACAGUAUAUUCUGUAGGAAAAGACACCCUGGGCCAAAAGACAACACAUCUGGGUUCUGGUGGCAGCAUCUUUACUGUCUUCAUCUGUUUUCUUAUUUCUGAAAUAUAGGUAAUAAUACCUGCCCUGUCCAUCUCUCAGGGUUUUGUGAAGACAGAGUGUGACAAUAAAUAAUUGGAAACACUUUGGGCA
rnacentral:lncRNA from 1 species